UUUGCUUAAAAUCUUGCAGGAGGGAGCUUGUUUUCCAGUGUAGAUGCAGCUGUUACAGAGAUUUCUGCCAUUGGUUUAGGGGAAGCAGCUGAAGCGGAUGUAUAGUCCUGUACAGGGUAGGUUCACUGACUCCCGAGGCAGAAAUGAGGAUGUGGACGGCUCUGUGUGUGACAAUAUACUUCUUCAGAGCAAGAGCUGAAAUCACCCAAACCCCAAGUCUUGUGGUGAGAGAAGAUGAGAAAGCUACUCUGAAAUGCAGUCAAAAUGAUAAACACAAUUCUAUGUACUGGUUUCUGCAGCAGCCAGGGAAGGCAAUGCAAUUGAUUUAUUAUUCCUAUGGUGUAAAUCAAAAGCAAGUGGGUGACAUUCCAGCUGGAUUCCAAGCUAACCGGCCAGACCUUGCAGAAUUCUAUUUGGAUAUUUUGUCUGUGAACCUGAACCACUCAGCCAUCUACUUCUGUGCCAGUAGUUUGGACACAACACUUCAAAGUCACUUGCUUUCUUUACAUAAACCUCUCCCCUUUCAUCACCUUCUCUCUGAAGCUGCUCUCAGCACAGGAAGAGGGUGUGUAGGGCAGUCACCUACUCACAAAACAGAUGUUACUGAGGUGGAACAAGAAUAGGAAGAAAUAAGACCAAGGCAAAAUAGGUAUUUGAAGUGUGGUCUAAUUGCUGAGCUCCUCUUUCCUGAUCAACAAAUUAUACUCCAUCUCAUCAGAACAAUCAAUAAAGAUAGUUAACCAAAUGCAGAUAUAAAAUAAA